GGGAGUCAGACUGUGGGUGAUAAGAUUCAUAAUCGAAAGGGCAACAGACCAGAUCGUCAGCUAAGGUCCCUAAUUGUAAGUUACGUGGUAAAGGAUGUGGGAUUGAACAGACAACCAGGAUGUAAGCUAAGAAGGAGCCACUCAUUCAAAGAGUGCGUAAUAGCACACUGGUCGAGUGAUCCUGCGACGAAGAUUUCCGGGGCUAAAACUUACUACCGAAGCUACGGCAUCAGGAAUGAUGGGUAGGGGAGCUUACCAUACGGGUUGAAGCAUGACCGGAAGGACAUGUGGACAGUAUGGGAGC
rnacentral:rRNA from 1 species